rnacentral:rRNA from 1 species
UAGAGUUUGAUCAUGGCUCAGAUUGAACGCUGGCGGCAGGCCUAACACAUGCAAGUCGAGCGGUAACAGAUUGAUAGCUUGCUAUCAAUGCUGACGAGCGGCGGACGGGUGAGUAAUGCCUGGGAAUAUACCCUGAUGUGGGGGAUAACUAUUGGAAACGAUAGCUAAUACCGCAUAAUCUCUUGUCUUUUACGAGAUGGGAGCAAAGAGGGGGACCUUCGGGCCUCUCGCGUCAGGAUUAGCCCAGGUGGGAUUAGCUAGUUGGUGGGGUAAUGGCUCACCAAGGCGACGAUCCCUAGCUGGUCUGAGAGGAUGAUCAGCCACACUGGAACUGAGACACGGUCCAGACUCCUACGGGAGGCAGCAGUGGGGAAUAUUGCACAAUGGGGGAAACCCUGAUGCAGCCAUGCCGCGUGUAUGAAGAAGGCCUUCGGGUUGUAAAGUACUUUCAGUUGUGAGGAAGGCGUUGGAGUUAAUAGCUUCAGCGCUUGACGUUAGCAACAGAAGAAGCACCGGCUAACUCCGUGCCAGCAGCCGCGGUAAUACGGAGGGUGCGAGCGUUAAUCGGAAUUACUGGGCGUAAAGCGCAUGCAGGCGGUCUGUUAAGCAAGAUGUGAAAGCCCGGGGCUCAACCUCGGAACAGCAUUUUGAACUGGCAGACUAGAGUCCUGUAGAGGGGGGUAGAAUUUCA